rnacentral:rRNA from 1 species
CAGUAGCCGCGGGAAUACGGAGGGUGCAAGCGUUAAUCGGAAUUACUGGGCGUAAAGCGCACGCAGGCGGUCUGUCAAGUCAGAUGUGAAAUCCCCGGGCUUAACCUGGGAACUGCAUUUGAAACUGGCAGGCUAGAGUCUUGUAGAGGGGGGUAGAAUUCCAGGUGUAGCGGUGAAAUGCGUAGAGAUCUGGAGGAAUACCGGUGGCGUAGGCGGCCCCCUGGACAAAGACUGACGCUCAGGUGCGAAAGCGUGGGGAGCAAACAGGAUUAGAUACCCGCGUAGUCCCUGUCUCUUAUAC